UUAGAGGUAAACGGGUGGAGUUGAACUGUAAUCUGUGAGAAUUCAGCUGGGGAAUUUUGCUUGAGCUUGGUCAAUUGAGCAGGGCUCCGAGGUAUGCUUAGCUGCAUGUCCUGAUCUUCGGGUUGGGAUGCGCGUUGCUCUUAUCAAGGGUUGUGCGCCUCGGGGUUCAGCUAGCUCGUUCGCCAGUGCACUUUCUCAUGGUGAUCACCACGACCGGCGCUGCUGCUUGGCUGUUUUGGUUAAAUCGGUUACUCUUCGUCCCUGUGGCGUUGGGUGAUCGACACGGCAGGUAAUUGGGGGCAAUCGUUUAGCUUGUUUCCCGGUGUAUGCUGACUUUAACGGUCCAAUGCGGUGCGUCGGAGACGGCGGCUAGUGGUGUGUGCGUGCGUGCCUAUCUGUUGGCGUAUUCUGGUUUGGUUGCUGUGUGCUUGUUUACGCAGGCCCAGUGAUAGCCGGAGUGUGUCAGUGGGUGGUUGCGUGUGUGACACCGUUCAGG
rnacentral:rRNA from 1 species